rnacentral:rRNA from 1 species
UAUAGAUGGAUCCGCGCUGCAUUAGCUAGUUGGUAAGGUAACGGCUUACCAAGGCAACGAUGCAUAGCCGACCUGAGAGGGUGAUCGGCCACACUGGAACUGAGACACGGUCCAGACUCCUACGGGAGGCAGCAGUAGGGAAUCUUCCGCAAUGGGCGAAAGCCUGACGGAGCAACGCCGCGUGAGUGAUGAAGGUCUUCGGAUCGUAAAACUCUGUUAUUAGGGAAGAACAUAUGUGUAAGUAACUGUGCACAUCUUGACGGUACCUAAUCAGAAAGCCACGGCUAACUACGUGCCAGCAGCCGCGGUAAUACGUAGGUGGCAAGCGUUAUCCGGAAUUAUUGGGCGUAAAGCGCGCGUAGGCGGUUUUUUAAGUCUGAUGUGAAAGCCCACGGCUCAACCGUGGAGGGUCAUUGGAAACUGGAAAACUUGAGUGCAGAAGAGGAAAGUGGAAUUCCAUGUGUAGCGGUGAAAUGCGCAGAGAUAUGGAGGAACACCAGUGGCGAAGGCGACUUUCUGGUCUGUAACUGACGCUGAUGUGCGAAAGCGUGGGGAUCAAACAGGAUUAGAUACCCUGGUAGUCCACGCCGUAAACGAUGAGUGCUAAGUGUUAGGGGGUUUCCGCCCCUUAGUGCUGC